UGACUCCCUGAGAGUCCUGAAGGAACGUUGAAGACGACGACGUUGAUAGGCCGGGUGUGUAAGCGCAGCGAUGCGUUGAGCUAACCGGUACUAAUGAACCGUGAGGCUUAACCUUACAACGCCGAAGGUGUUU
rnacentral:rRNA from 1 species